UACGUAGGGUGCGAGCGUUAUCCGGAAUCACUGGGCGUAAAGCGUGCGUAGGUGGCGUGUUAAGUGUGAUGUUAAAUCGUGUGGCUCAACCAUAUCGAUGUGUCGCAUACUGGCAUGCUAGAGGACAGCAGAGGCAAGUGGAAUUUGUAGUGUAGCAGUGAAAUGCGUAGAUAUUACAAGGAACACCAAUGGCGAAGGCAGCUUGCUGGGCUACUCCUGACACUGAGGUACGAAAGCGUGGGGAGCGAACAGG
rnacentral:rRNA from 1 species